AGAAAAUUAAAACUAAGGUUGCGAAUAAGAAAAAAGAUAAGGGAAAAAGCAGACUGAGGCGUAGAUUGAACACCGAACUAUUGGAAAGCAGUGAAAACCAACUCAGCCUAUCCGGAAUGAGGAUGCAAGAAAAUGUACAAACUCCCAUAAUGGUCAAUGAAGAAAGUGGACAACAUCCAGUGAUGGGGACACAAGAAAGUAUGCAACUAGGAAUGGAUGGAACGCAGCCAGAGACGGUAGAUGGAACGCAGCCAAGCAGCUUCUUGUAGCAAGAUUUUAAAGAUCCAUUAUGUUUACUUAUGUUGUAUGUUGAUGGAAUUUGGGUUGGAUGUGGUUUGUUGGCAUGUGUGUGUUAGGGGUGAUUUGUAGAAAUUUACGUGUUGGUGUUGGUAUGUUGGAGUAGGUUAUGCAUUAGUGGUGAAAGUGUAUGUUUUGUAUAUGCGGCUUAGUA